rnacentral:rRNA from 1 species
UACGUAGGGGGCAAGCGUUGUCCGGAAUCAUUGGGCGUAAAGAGCGUGUAGGCGGCCCGAUAAGUCCGCCGUGAAAGUCCAGGGCUCAACCCUGGAAUGCCGGUGGAAACUGUCGGGCUGGAGUCCGGAAGAGGCGAGUGGAAUUCCUGGUGUAGCGGUGAAAUGCGCAGAUAUCAGGAGGAACACCAAUGGCGAAGGCAGCUCGCUGGGACGGUACUGACGCUGAGACGCGAAAGCGUGGGGAGCGAACGGG